UAAAGAUUAGUUAGCUAACAUUUUGUAUUAUGAUAUAUAAAUUUUUCAAUCCUCAAUUUGUGCAUAUAAAUCCAGACUAUAGCAGGAUAUCUGAGAUAUUUUAGGAGCUUAGUAAUAUUUGUUGACUUGUCAUUAGAUAUUUUCACCAUGUUCAACAUGUUAUCUUUACUGGUCAGAGUAGGAGAUACUCUGUCUGUAAUAAUCUGGGAAGUUCGUAUCAAAAAGUCAUAAUAUACAAAAAAAUACAAUAAAUACUUGGGCUUUUCUGUUAUGUAUCCCUGGUCAAAAGUGCUAAGAGAAUUUCUUAGCCUGAUUUUCCCAGAAAGAAGAGCCCAAACAGACUAAUGUGCUCUUAUUUUAUAGGAAAGACAAUUCCAGGGAGUUAAAGUGAAGAAAAACAACAACAAAAUAAUUCAAGUGAAGAGGUGGAGCCCAAAUAGGGCUGUGGUAUUGAGCUGACUCUAGUGUUACACUACGAAAAUGCCUGUAACUGUAUCUCUGGACCAUCCCGGAGAGGAAAGGUUGUGCAUGCUGGGCAUAGGAGCUGAAGAGAGCCCUGUGGUAUCACCAGCAAGGCAGCCCUUGGGCGGGAAGCCAGAGGGGAAGAAAAGGGACUGAAGAUGAAGCAACAUCCAGUUACAUCUGUGUGAAUUUGGUCUGAACACAUGGAAACCUGGAAGAGAGAUGUUAAAAUGGCCUGAAAAACAGGAUAAUUUGUGUUGGAUGCAAAGGUCUUUAUUUCUUUCUGCCAGCAUGAUCUAAAUAUAUCCUAAUACCUCAUGGGCUUAGUCUCUGCACUGCAGAUGUCUUUUUUCUUAUUGAGAUUAUUUCCCUAUUGUAGAUUGCUGGUGAAAUUU
rnacentral:lncRNA from 1 species